CCAAACGAAACAAGUUCGAAUCUCAUUCAGGAAUACCCUCGGACUUGGGCUCAAAAUGAGCCUAAUUAUGACAAGACAAUGGACGACCAUUAACUGGGCCAGCUUUAGGCCUAACUUUCAAACCAAUAAUUGUACAAAAUCCAUCAGAUGUCAAUCAGCUAGGACCAUAUGGAACAAAUGAUCAAACUAAUAUUUACAUUCUGAAUUUUAACUGUUCGAGCACAGAACAACCAACUGACAUUUUGAUUCAUGCCAAAUUUUAACAUAGACUAAUAGGCAAAUCAAAUUAUUCUCAACAUUAGUUUGUAGUCACACUUCACAAGACAAAUAAUUCAGAGCAAAACAAUCCAUCACAAUGCCUUCGAGUAAUAUACUACUCAUCCUUUCAUCCUUAACCCCUCCAUAGUUUGUUCAACAUGAAAUUGUCACCAAGCAUGAAUGCAUAUUUCGUCCGAGGAUAAAGAAAAUCUAAGACAUAUGUAAAUUAACUGAGUCUUCUAACACAAUGUCUUAACAGUCCCAAAGUCACAUACGAUUAAAAGAGUUCAACUAUCCAAAAUAAAAAUCAACUAGAAUAUACAUCGAAUAAGGUUGAUAGAGACACAAAUAUCAUGAAGAAAGCACAACUGAAUCAUAAAUAAAGCUAUUACUAUGCUCUCAACUCUAUUUUUUAUUUCCAUCUUCAAAUUGAGCCUCACAUCAAAUAAGAUUCAGAACAUGUACCUGGGAACUAAAAGGUAACAAAGAGGUGAAGAAUCAGUAAGGAGCAACAGUAGAAACCAACUUAAAAUUCAGCAAUGAAACAGUAUAAAAUUAGCAGAACAAGCUUCAAAGCCUUGAUCAAUUCCAGACUUCUAAAACCCAGUUUCAACCCUUCUACUGAACCCCUGAAAUUCUGAUUUACCCAAAGGAAAAGAAAACUCGAAAAUCAAGCCAAAACUUCAAACAAUUUUCAGUGUUUUCAUUUGAGAGAAAAUACCUAGCUGUUUUCAGAAUUUUGUGUCUUUCAAUCCCUCUUUUUUUCUGACUUGAGCUUGAAGUAAGGUGCCUUUAUAGACGAGGUUUUUAGGGCUGCAGAAGUAAGCUCAUUUUUGCACUUAAGACCUUUUGCCAUUUUGGUUUUUUCUCGCAUACCCUUAAUUUAAAUUUCAGAUUUCAUUCAGGUCCCAAUGACAGCUUCUAGGAAGCUUCCCUCAGCUAGUUACAGAUUAUUCCCUCACCCAUAUUUCCUAAAUUAUCCCUUAAGAGCCCAAUUAUUUACUUCGGAGACCAAACAAGUAUGGGUCAAGUUGACCCAAAUCAAAUUACCAUGGGUCUCAGGUCAAAUCCUUUUUUGGGCUUUCUGAUUUCAGAAUUCAAAUCAAGCCCUAAUCCAAAAUCUCAAUUUAACGGGCUAAGAAAAAAAAACCUUUAAGACGAAACCAAAACCCAAAAGAAAAGGGAAAUGAACUAAUUAGUUUUAAACAAUAAAAAAACCAAAACAAAAUAAACUAUGUUUGAUUAUUAAUCUACUUAUGCAUGUGCAAAAUUGAAAACGAACACAUAACGAAGAAAAAGAGAUGAAGAAACAGAAAAGAGAUGAAGAAAUAAACAGAAAAAUAUAUAAAUAAAAAAAACAGAAAAGAUGAAAAUACCUAAACCGGGCUAGCCAGACCUUGAAGUCAUUACUCGAGCCUUCGAUUUUGACCGAAAUGGGUCUUAAUCAUAUGUUCUCAAACGAAAACACAUGAACAUGGUCGAUUUCGGCCUCAAUCUUCACUAAGCUUUCCGAUUUUAGGGUUUUGAAAUUUUAGGUUUCAUAUUUUGAUUCUAGAUUCGACGAGUUCUAGGGGGAUUCGAGGGCAAAGAAUUAGGGAUUAGGGAAGAGGAGGUAUAGGGGGUUCUAGGGUGUUAAGAUGGGGAUGAUUAGAGUGGUCGCCGCCACCUUGAGGCGGUGGAAAUGGAGGCGGCGGCGUUAGGGUUUACAGGUUAGAGUCUCCGCGAAAGAGACGAUGAGGGGUUAGGGGGUGCGUUUGGACACUUUUAUAUGUGGAAACCUGGCUUCUCGACCGUUGGAUGAGGAAGACC
rnacentral:lncRNA from 1 species